CUCCCAGAGACUGUGUCGUUGACUUUGUGUCUACUUUCCCCCUGCCCCCGACGGGUAAGCCCGAGACACCCAAAGGGCUAGCCAACCCCCUAGCCCCACAGCAACACAGAUGAAGGGGAACUGCUGUGCUAGAUCUUCUCCUGGUCGCUCAGGCUACUAAUUGGGUCAAAUGAGAUAUAACUGCUUCAUGGAAUGUCACUUCUGGCCUGCCAAGCACAGCAGUCUCCUGAGGACUUGGGGACUCCUGGGGAUGGGCUACAGCACACUGAAGUAGCAGGAACCAAGGACUCUGGAGGACUGCCAGAGAGUGAUACAGGGCAAAGAGAAAACCACAGUGGAUUUAGAAUCACCAUGGAAACACAACUCCUGGAGUCUAUGAGGGUGUUCCCAGAAAGGUGUAACUGAGAAGAGGCACUCUGAGUGUGGAUGGCAUCAUCCUUGGGUUGGGUUGGGGUCCUGGACUGAAUAAAAAGCAGAAAGCAAGCUGAACAUCCCCCCUUUUCUUGUGAGUGUGCAUAUGCACAGAGGGACCAGCCACCUCACGCUCCUGUCACCAUUCUUCACCCACCAUGAUGGACUGUUUCCCCUCACAUUGUAUGCUAUAAUUAACCCUUUGUAUUAGUUACUUUUCCUGUUGCUGUGUGUUGUGUGACACUUUUCCUUGGGAGACAUGACACAAACAUCUGUUCACUCCAAAUAGGGAGUAUGAUGGCUAAUCCUGGGUGUCAACUUGACUGGAUCUGGGAUUGACUGAAAUGAAAGAGAUCUUGAUUGGAUCAU